UUUUGAUUUUGAUUCAUCCUUAAUAGGAAAUCUGGAUUUUUAUAUUGAUUUUGAACAUUUGCUGAUUAGUUUUGUAUAUUUGUGUGGUCCAACUGAGGCACAAAUUCAUGGAACGCUUCCAAACACCAUUAAGUUUCUAGCUAAUCUUUCCAAGUCUAUGUUCAUACACAUAGAGGCCGACAAUCGAUGUAGUGCGUCAGAGCCUGCUACCUGAGCAUCUUCAAAUUCAUUAUGAGCAACAACCUAUAGAGGAUUAUGCCAUACUAGCUACCUGAGCAUAUUCAACACCAUGGUGAGCAACAACCUGUAGAGGAUCUUUUCGAGUUAUUAUUUUUGGAAUCUGGACUACUAGGUGGGGUGAAGAAUAGUCAACAGCGGCUGCAACAGGGCAUCCUCAACAACAUGAACCUAUGGAAGAUAUGCCGUACCAGUUACGGUAGCAUCUUCAACACCAUGGCAGCCAACAAUCUAUAUUAAUUUAUUUCACUGUUGGAUCUGUGACAUAAUUGUAGGCGUGUGACUGAGACUCUGGAUCAGACUUUGAGAAUGAUGAAAUAGCCGAAGACUUUGGCACUGGCAAAGGCAGAACUGGUUAUUCCAUGUGACGAGACUGAGCUGCAAAAACAAACCCAAUUAAUUACCAAUAUUAUGCUGCAAGUUAUUGGAUUUGGAAAACCAGCAACGGUACCAACAUGCUUCCUUCAAAAGAUCAAGUCCCAGAUGUUGAGAGUCCUACUGACAGAUAUUGUGGGUGUUGAGGUGUUCAUGUUGUGCAUCACAGAAAGAGUCAGGUUGCUGAAUCACAGAAAUGUGUCAACUCCACGACACUUUUUCAGUAAGCAACAUACCCUGCAGCAGCAUGCAUAAAAGGUUGCGUUAAAGUUUUCAGAGUUGUGGGAAUUGUUGUUGCCCGUUUCUUUAGUACAUGCUAAUUAAUAAUUAAGCUUUUCAUGUUAUCGUUAUAUAAUAAUGUUGAAAAAACAUUGGAGGUCAUACAGCUUGUCCAUGUUUGGUUAUUGAAGCAUAUUCACCAGCUCAGA